rnacentral:lncRNA from 1 species
ACUUGCUAGUCCACUCACCAUGUUUGCUAUUCGAAACCUUCUCCUCAAACCUCCCAUACCACUCCAUCCCUCCCCCUUCUUAUCUGAGGGCUUCUCCUCAUGAAUCAAUGAAAAAUUCAAAGUAAUUUGCGGAGUUCCCUCUUCUCUCUUUUUUCUUCUCUUACAUAGUUUUAACUAUCAUCUUCCAACCGUGGGCUAACUAUCCUACAUAGCCUGGAGUAGAUCCCCUCUUAUCUUUUCUAGCCAACUGUCUCAACUACCAUCUUCAUUCUGUACCCAGAUACAUUCAGUAUCUCCCCAAAUGCUGGUUCCUUAUCUGCUCCCUCUAAACAUGCUUAAGUUGCCAUCAUUCUUAAAAACAAAACAAAACAAAACAAAAAAAUCAAACUAAAACAAAACAAGACUAAAAACCAAAACCAAAACAAAACUUCCUUAGAUACUCCCUUUACCCCUAGCUAUUUUCCUAUAUUUCUCUUCCUCUAAGCUCCUAGUAAAGAUCAUUCUCAUUCAGGGACUUCACUUCCUUGUCUUCUCUAAGUCUAAACCUUUGGAAAUCUGCCCUUCCCAUCUCAUCAUUCCAUUGAAACUGCUCUCUGAAAUUACUAAGGAUCUUCAAAUUACCCAAUGAAAUGACUUUCCCCUCUCAGUCCUCAAGCUUUGUGACCUCUCAGUAACAUUUGACACAGCUGACUACAUUCUUUUCUUAUUUCCUUUCUCCUCUCUGGGUUUUCAGGACUCUGCCCUUUUUGGGUUCUCCUCUCACUGUCAGACUCCUUCUUUUAUUCUCCUUUAUUAGGUCUCCCUCACUAGGUGCUAGGACUAGCACCUCUGGUGUGAUGGUUUGAUGAACCCUUCUCAGGGUUGCAUAUUCGCCUUUGGUGUCUACCUUCACUCUCACCUGUGGCUCCAAGAAGCUGUAGCACAUGAAGAGACCACAACCAGCUGACCAUCUCUGUAGCUACCACAUCCACCUGGAGCCUCAAGAUGAUGUUCCAAUGACUUCAUUCUCUUCAUCUAUACAAUCAGAGACACUGACAGCUUAUUCUGGGGCAAUACAAUAUUCCAAAUGGCGUUCAAUUACUCCUGUGCUGAACUAACGGGGGAUGGUUGUAGUGAGGUCACAUGGUGGCCAUGAUUCAUCAAAACAUGUAAAGCAUGAACACCUUAAUCUUAGGUCUCUUAUAUGUCCAAUGGGAAAAAUGAUGAAAAAGGUAACCUAAAUAUUACUUCAAUACUUUUAAUGGAUCCAUAAUCUCAUACUUGUGGAAGGUAUUUCCUCCCUCAACACAAAUGGCAGCCUAUUGAUUCUUUUUGAACUGGUGUGAUUCUUAUCUGUGUUUCUUGAAGUUGUAUGAGCUCUUGGGCUAUGCACUUCUUAUCCCUCAGAAUUACUAUGACAGGUCCUUUUCCUUUUCCAAUGAUACAUUUUUUGGAUGAUAGGUCAAUGUUGAUGGUUUGGUUAAAAAAAUGUAUAUGUAUAU